rnacentral:rRNA from 1 species
UACGUAGGGGGCAAGCGUUGUCCGGAAUUAUUGGGCGUAAAGCGCGCGUAGGCGGUCCGAUAAGUCGGUUGUGAAAGUCAAGGGCUCAACCCUGGAAUGCCGACCGAUACUGUCGGGCUAGAGUCCGGAAGAGGUGAGUGGAAUUCCUGGUGUAGCGGUGAAAUGCGCAGAUAUCAGGAGGAACACCAAUGGCGAAGGCAGCUCACUGGGACGGUACUGACGCUGAGGCGCGAAAGCGUGGGGAGCAAACAGG